rnacentral:sRNA from 1 species
GAUUCGCCCAACCACACUCCCAAGGAUUUUGGACACCUCCAGUGUACCUCGGACCUCCGAAAGUUCUUCCCAGAAAAAGUUGAACUCGGUAUGUGUCGGCUACUUCAUUACUUCAUUUGAAUUCAAAAUUUCUAGAAUGUCAAGUUUUCAGAAGCCCGUGAGAGCCCGAAAAGAUCUAGAGGAGGCGGCGGAAGAGGACGCGGAGCCAGCCGAGCCAAACGAGGAAGAGCCAUCGUUCCCACCUAUGAUAUGAUUUUGGAGGCUCACAGCAAGCCCUAUGUAAGUUUUGACCUAUACUUUUGGCAGCUAGAUAUGACUAUUUUUCAGGUCCACCGUAACUACUGAGCCGGUUCAUUCUCUUCUCAACUGAUCUCCAAUGUGAUCUCCCAGCCCCCCGCCAUUGCCAUAUCUGUUUGUCCCGUUAAAAUUGUUUUAUAAUAAGAACUGCAAUCAAUAAAUGAACUCUGUGUAGACGUUAUUUCAAGCUUCAAGUUACUUUUCUUCUACCACUGAUUGGUUUCCCGUCACCAUUUUGUUUUCUGUGUGUGUGUGUGGUUGUGCAAUUUUUUUUUCGUUUUUUUCUCAAAUUUCAGUGAAACUUCUCAAAACUGCCACGAUGAGCUCCAACAACUACAACGAAGUUCAAGACGGUAAGAAGCUUUUUAUUAUUCAGGGUUACUGUAGAGUCGUGCAACUUUACGUACUGUAGUCUUACUUUGAGAUUACUGUAGGGUUACUGUAGGAUCACUCUAGGGAUACAGUAGGGUCUCUUCAAUGUAGUAAUACUGUGCUACAACUGUGGAAAUACUGUAGUACCUCUCACGGGUCGAGCCAAUAUCCUUAAACCCGUAAAAUGUCGGUCAAAUGUAUUAGAUCAAAAUGAAGCUCGACUUCCAGCACCUGCAGGAUCUCAGCACCCUUUCUGGAAACAUAACUAAUUUUACAGAGCGCCCGACCACCACCCAGCUCCCAUCUCUUGCCUCUGUCGAAUUUUGGCAUUCUGGAAACCGUGAGGAUUGGAUGCAUGCUCUAUCGGCAGAAUGUCAGCGUCUACUUCGUAAGUGUAUUUUAUAGAUUUUCAGAAAAGAAUUCACAAUGAUUUUCAGAGAGAUCCGACGAAACAGCUUCAACCCAACAACAUCAGCCAAGAGGAUCCUCGGAGCUGCAAGCUUCCACCACACAGCUACUCGGUGAGUUUUUCAAAGAUUUUUCCAGCAAAAAACAACAUUUUCAGACUCAUCCAGCCAAACUGAAAUCUCGAUGACGGAGAACAAUGCUCUCGAGGCAGAAAUUAAUGAAUUAAAGCAAAAAGUGAGGAUGCUCACAGACGACGGACAAAACAAGGAAAAGCAGACAAAGGAGUUGGAGGGAGUUCUGAACGUUGCCACGACAAGUGCCAUGGAAGCUGCUCAGAAACUCCAAGUUCAUCAGCAGAAGCUCAAACAGGAGCACAAGGAAGCAGUGGAAACCUUGGUAGAAGCUCUAAGAGCCGAGAAAGAGAAACUCGAGAAGAUCUUGGAAGAUGCAAGAAAGAAGGACGACGAAAUCGAAGAGUUGAAGAAAAAAGUGAACUCUGAAAGUUCCAGAGCCACUUUAGCCGAUGAAGCUGUUCAGAAACUCCAAACUGAUAAAGAUAAGCUUGAGGAGGAGUACAUGAAUGAUAUGCGUGAUUUGAAAAAAGCUCUAAAAGACAACCAAGAAGGACUCGAGAAGAUCGCCAAAGAUGUCAAGAACAAAGAAGGCGAAAUCGAAGAGUUAAAGAAAAGUGUGAGCUCUGAAAUAGUCAAAGCCACGGAAGCAGCUCACGCCACUGAUCAGCUCCGAAAAAAACUCCAGAAACAACAGGAUGAGCACGAAAAAGUGAUUGCGAAUAUGGAAGAAAAUUUCGAAGCAGCAAAACUAGGAGCAGCAGCACAAGAAGAAGAAGAAAUUGAGAAGCUCGCGGGGGACGGAAGGAAAAAGGACGACAAAAUCAAGGAAUUGGAGAAUAAUGCUGAGGACUUCAGAGGGUUGAGCAGGAGCAUAAAAAAGAGAUUGAAGACUUGAAAGGAGCUCUAGCAGCAGAGAAAAGAAUUUCAGAAGCUGACAAAGUGGAAUUGAAGAAGCUCACCGAGGAACUGCAGAGUAUGCAUCUCAAAAACAAGGAACUGAAGAAUAAUGUGACCACUGAGAAUUCAAGGGCCACAGGAGCCGUUCAAGAGGCUCAGGUGCUCCAAGAAAAACUGCAACAAGCUUUGAAAGAGCUUGAGGGAAAGAAGAAAGAGCUUUUGGAACAAGAGAAUGCUCACAAGCUCCGCAUGGAUCAGUUUGAAGACGACACUAAGAAACGUCACAAAAAAGAAAUCAAGGCGCUGGAAGUGGAAGUGAAAAAACGAAACGCCACUAUUAAAGAACAUCAAGUUGCUGCUCAAGAGAGAAGAGCGAAACAUGAUGCGGAAGUCGAAGAGCUCGAACAAAAAUUGGCCACCGAAGAGGAGAAGUGCAGACGAAUCGUCCAAGAUAUCAGGGAAAAGCUCGAUGCCCGUAAGUUUUUUUUUUUUGGAUAUUCGGCGAAACCAAAUUUAGCAAUUUUCAGAAUUUCCGCCGAUCUCCCGAUCUCCGAGUACUGAAUGCGUAUGGCCAGAAAUGAUAAUUGAUGGUAUGUUUGCAGUGUUCUAAGAGCACAACCAAGACAAACUUUAGUUCAAAGCGGAUCUAACUUUAAAAUGACCCCACCCAUAUCUAGGCUCAAUUUCGCCUGCAAGGCGACCUAUGCCUGCUGCCUACUGCCAAGGUACUACAAAAUGUUGAGUGUGGUAGGCAGGCAAACGGGCAGGCAAAAACCUACCUACCUAUUAUAAAAGCCGGUCAAAUUUUCAGAUGUCUUUUGGCAACAGCCAAGCAGCUCCACAUCCCACGUCUAUUCUUCGUUUGCCUUUUCUACUCCACGUUCCAGCUCCCAAAAUGCUCCAGUUCAAGAAGGUGAGCCGACGAUCGCAAACUGAUCCACAUAGGAAAAUGUGAUAAACUUUUUUAGAAGCCACUUCGCACCAAUCCACCUCCUCCGAGCCUGCUUCUUCUGCUCCGAACUCUAAUUCUUCUCCAAAUUCCUCAGGUAUGUCACCCGCAGUCACCAGCUACUUGUCCAAUAUUUCUGAGCCGUUUACUUUUUCAGCUCGAAUUACCAGACGUCAUGCGCCACCUUCCACCUCCAGAGCAUCCAAAAGAAUUGCAGCAAAAAAUGCUCAGGAAGAGCCAACAAAGGUAAGUUGAUGGUAAUCACAGUGAAAGAGAUAAACCCCAUUUUCAGAAGCCAAAGUGACCUGCUACCCAACCUCCGAACGUUUCUCAGCCUGUUCCAGAGCCCUAUCUAUCCCCAGAUCACAAAAAUUUUCAUCUAGUCCCGCUUUUUCCUAGUACAUCCUCUGUCUCUUACUCUUGCCAUUUUAUUUGUCUUGUUUGAUACAUACUUGUUACAUAGAGAUUUAAUGAAUUCAAAUUUUACUUGACUUUUUUUUUCAAUUUUAAAACUUUUGGUUUAACUUCCAACUUCUCAUUUUCGUACUUCUAUCAUCUAUUCCUGAUUUUCAAUUUUAAACCUGCAUUUUCAGAGUAUAUUGCUCCAGUUUCCUUAGAGAUGGCUUCAACUUCUACUGCCGCUCAAGGCGAACCUGAAAAUGCUCCACCCGUCGAUGUAAGCCAACUUUGCUUCAAUCUAACGCACUGCGCCACCAGCUACAAGCACUAUGCGUUCCGUAAGUUUCAUUAAUCAAUUUCAAUUCUGAAGUAAUAUAUUCUAGAACUCGCUUCAAAGAUCGCGCCGAAAAGAUAUAAUGACGCCUUCUUGGAGCACAGUGAAGAGCACUUGAAUGCACUCCGGAAACAAAAUCAACAGCAAUUAUCGACAGAAGAGAUCUUUACCUCUUGCAGGAACAUAUUUACCGAGAUGGAGUCGUGUCAAGCAGAGUUGCAAGCUCGCUGUAAGUUUCAUUGAUAGCAGUGCUAUUAUAGGUUGUAGAACUUGUAGUUUGUAGUCUGUAGUCUGUGACAUCAUAAGUUCUUCCUAUGUAGUACUGGGCUCCUGUAACAAUACAGCAGAAAUAUCACUUUAGCAGGAUCCCGCACCGACCAAUCAGCAAUGCUGGCCAUGCCCAUCACGCCUUCCUGAUUGGCUAGCGCUUCAUGUAUUUAAAACCACAGAAAACUACCUUCUUUCAGUGAAUAAUGGUCGCCGAGAAACCCCGCCACCAGCUCAACAAGAUGUUAACUCUAUUAUCAAAUCAUUCCUGACUCAAAUGCUCCCGGCGAAACACGGCAUACCUACCGACUUGGCACAGGCUCUCCUGAUUCUUUGCAACUUUUUGAAUGCCCGCCAGAUCUUGCUGCCCAAAAACGUGAUUGAUGGCUACAUGAAUCUUGUCAGCCAAGUUCCAAGUGAGUUCUCUUUCGAUUUCUGGGCGAAAUUUGAAUUUUUCAGUUUCUGAUCUUCCAUCGAGACCGCAGGAAGCCGUUCAAUCGCCAAGUAAUGUUUUCUCCGACUUUAUUGCCAACGAGCUGACCUUGAAUGCAAUGAAGAAAAAUGAAGAGUUGCAAAAAUUAAUCGAUUCUCAGAAAAAGGAAUCUAGAAGGUUCCAAGAUUCAGCACGCAUAAAGAAGAUGAAAUUGGAAGCUCAAAUCGAGGAUCUCGAAGAAAAAUUGAAAUUCGCCGAGCAACACUUUCAUGGAGAGCUCCAGGAGACUUGUUUCUCUGGAGAAACUUGCCUUGAAACUGGAAUUCUAGGAUACCGAGGAAAGUUCCCAAGUGCUCCAUCCGAAGCCGAGAAGAUGUUGAAAGAGAUGAGCCGGACUACAAACGACGCGAAGAAGCUCAUUCUGAUGAACAGUCGAGUUGUGGAAGGGUCAGCGAAUUUGAUGAAAAAGUGGAAGACUGCCAUGAAGAUUGCUGGAGAAGCUCCGCAGACUUCUUACCAAGAAUCUUUUGCUCACAACUUUGAGAAUUCUGAGCCUUUGUUUUCAACUCCAAUUACAGCUUCAACUACAGCUGAAGAACCACCACAGGUUAGAAUCUAGACAAUUUCAUUUAAAAAAUUAGAGAUUCCAACUUUUCCAGGUGUUCAGCUUUCACUCUCGCCAGCAACCGUCUUCAUUAGCGAGCACUGCUUCUGAUACUGGUAGGCCGAACUUCCGGCUUUAAUUUUCUUCAAAUUUAGUGUCAAUUUCAGGCAAUCUAGAUCGCCCAAGAUUUAGUGGCUCGGAUCUCACCUUCGAAAUCAAGAAGCUCAACGAUGAAAUUAGCGGACUGCGCCAGGAGAAUGAAGAGCUUCGAGCUUCAAACGAGUAUCUACGGACUGCUCACGGAGUGGAUGUACACAAUAUAAGCCAGCUUCAGCUUCAGAUAAAAGCCACUCAAGAAUUAAGUGAGUUAAUGAAACCUUUUGGCAGAAGAAAACAUGGAAUUUUCAGACCAAGCCUAGAGAGUCUAGAGAGCUCAAUCCUGCAACAUAUCAAAAGAUGAACAAGUUUUACUAGUCUCCCGCAAUGAUUUGAAUGUAAUAAAUUCCUUUAUUAAUUUUUCAAAUGUUUUCUUUUUUAUAAUCUCCCAAUCGGUCAUAACAAAGCAAAUGUUUAAUUGUUCCUCUGUGAUUUUUUUGUAAAUCAAUUUUCCCUCAAAUUUAUCAGCUUGCAAAAAUAGACACAAUUUGUAGACACAGACUCCCUCCCUCUCAAAUCUAGGAUGAAUCAGGACUUUCUCCUCCAGGACUUCUCCCAUUUAAAUGGCCUCAAUCCAAUGCUCCAACCACUCCCGAUGAGACUGCCGCCGUUCGUUCCGAUGGACAUCCCCGACCACGCUUCGACUGUUCCGCUAGUCUCCAGCCUGCUCAACGCUCCAGGAUCACUUUAUGGUCCCGAGGGGCUGCUCCAAGGACCACCACCGUUGAGCCAGGACCAACUGAACUCGAUUCUUCUCGGAGCGUUUACCAGACAUCUUUCGGAUCCCGCAAUGAUUCCACUAGCCGAUUUGGAUCCGAUGAUCUGUCAAGCAGCAAGCAUCACCAAGCCCGUAUCGAAGCACAUAAUGAGAACCAGAAGCCUCACUCAGGAUUCAGUGAAGGUCAAGCUUGAACAUGUAGAAGAUGAGAUAAUCGACGUCGGAGUAAAUGAUUAUCGUGAGUCUAUCCUUGAAGUUUCUGCUGCUUCCAAAAUAUAUUAAUUUUUCAGAACCUCCUCAAACAUCCGUUGAGCCCGAGCAACAAGGAUCUUUGUCGGACUCUAAUAGCAAGAAGCUUCCCGAGUCGCCACAAAACAGUGCUCCACCACCUUUGGAACUCGAGCAGCCAGAGCCAGCUAGAGCCUUGCUCAAGUCUGCCCCAAAAAGCUGUAAGAUAUUUGAGAUCAUGGGCAUUAUCUUAAAGUUUGAUUAUUUUCAGAUGAGCAGCUUACAGCGGAGAAUUCAGCAAUGAAAUUGGAGCUCGCAUUUCUCAAGAGAGAACUUGAGCAGAAGGAUGACAAAAUUCUGGUGGUUGUAGCAGAAAAUGUGAUUCUCAGAGAGGAGUGGGAUGCGAACAUUGCUAUCAAACAGGACUUGAGAGCUAAGCUGAAUGAUCUUGAGGACAAGUUCGCGCAAAAAUCGAAGGAACUGGCUGCCUCCAACUCGAACAUCGCUCGACUUGAACGGAAAAACGAGAAGCUCAGUGAGAACAUUUAGUUAUUUUUUCGAAAUUUCACAUUUCAACUUUCAGACUGCCGCUCAGCCUGAUGCUCCACAAGCUUCAACUCGGACACCUCAACGAGCAUCACGCCGGAGCCUCACGGGCAGCUGGCUCAUGAUCUGCAGCUCCCAACGGCUUCAGCUCUCAAUGGGAUGCUCCAUGGGACUGGGUUCGCUGGAGAUGCGCAGA